UAGGGAAUCUUCCGCAAUGGACGCAAGUCUGACGGAGCAACGCCGCGUGAGUGAAGAAGGUUUUCGGAUCGUAAAGCUCUGUUGUUAAGGAAGAACGAGUGUGAGAAUGGAAAGUUCAUACUGUGACGGUACUUAACCAGAAAGGGACGGCUAACUACGUGCCAGCAGCCGCGGUAAUACGUAGGUCCCGAGCGUUGUCCGGAUUUAUUGGGCGUAAAGCGAGCGCAGGCGGUUAGAAAAGUCUGAAGUGAAAGGCAGUGGCUCAACCAUUGUAGGCUUUGGAAACUGUUUAACUUGAGUGCAGAAGGGGAGAGUGGAAUUCCAUGUGUAGCGGUGAAAUGCGUAGAUAUAUGGAGGAACACCGGUGGCGAAAGCGGCUCUCUGGUCUGUAACUGACGCUGAGGCUCGAAAGCGUGGGGAGCGAACAGG
rnacentral:rRNA from 1 species